rnacentral:rRNA from 1 species
UAGAGUUUGAUCCUGGCUCAGGAUGAACGCUAGCGACAGGCUUAACACAUGCAAGUCGAGGGGCAGCAUAGAAGUAGCAAUACUUUGGUGGCGACCGGCGCACGGGUGAGUAACGCGUAUGCAACCUACCUAUCAGAGGGGAAUAACCCGGCGAAAGUCGGACUAAUACCGCAUAAAACAGGGGCACCGCAUGGUGAUAUUUGUUAAAGAAAUUCGCUGAUAGAUGGGCAUGCGUUCCAUUAGGUAGUUGGUGAGGUAACGGCUCACCAAGCCGACGAUGGAUAGGGGAACUGAGAGGUUGGUCCCCCACACUGGUACUGAGACACGGACCAGACUCCUACGGGAGGCAGCAGUGAGGAAUAUUGGUCAAUGGGCGAGAGCCUGAACCAGCCAAGUCGCGUGAAGGAAGAAGGACCUAUGGUUCGUAAACUUCUUUUGCAGGGGAAUAAAGUGCAGGACGUGUCCUGUUUUGUAUGUACCCUGAGAAUAAGGAUCGGCUAACUCCGUGCCAGCAGCCGCGGUAAUACGGAGGAUCCGAGCGUUAUCCGGAUUUAUUGGGUUUAAAGGGUGCGUAGGUGGUUUGAUAAGUCAGCGGUGAAAGUUUGCAGCUUAACUGUAAAAAUGCCGUUGA